rnacentral:rRNA from 1 species
UGGGGACUUUUGGACAAUGGGCGAAAGCCUGAUCCAGCAAUGCCGCGUGUGUGAAGAAGGCCUUCGGGUUGUAAAGCACUUUUGUCCGGAAAGAAAACUUCUGCCCUAAUACGGCGGGAGGAUGACGGUACCGGAAGAAUAAGCACCGGCUAACUACGUGCCAGCAGCCGCGGUAAUACGUAGGGUGCGAGCGUUAAUCGGAAUUACUGGGCGUAAAGCGUGCGCAGGCGGUUUGUUAAGACCGAUGUGAAAUCCCCGGGCUCAACCUGGGAACUGCAUUGGUGACUGGCAAGCUAGAGUAUGGCAGAGGGGGGUAGAAUUCCACGUGUAGCAGUGAAAUGCGUAGAGAUGUGGAGGAAUACCGAUGGCGAAGGCAGCCCCCUGGGCCAAUACUGACGCUCAUGCACGAAAGCGUGGGGAGCAAACAAGAUUAGAUACCCCCGGUAGUACA